rnacentral:lncRNA from 1 species
CUUACGGUUUGGAAAACCUUGUAAUUCUUCAACAAGUUUAUCUAAGAAUCAGCCAGCAGGCUUCUAAAGCAUCAGAGGAGAAAGUGUCUAACAUCAGAAGUUCAGUAAGCAUGCAUUCGAAGAAACCCACAAUAGUUGUUGAUGAGUACUAUGAGUGAUGAACAUUGAAAACAGCUCUUGUAACUGUAAUCCUUGCAAUUGUCUGAUUAUGCCAUGACUAUGUUUGAAUAACAGCCCAUCCAUGUAUCCUCUUUGUGAUGUCCAAAUAGUAUUGUUG